CCCAAUAUUUUGGGUCUCUCUGUAUCGCCCAUGCGUUGAUGAUUACUUGUGUCCCUGCAGCAAUGUCAUACCCAUUUAUUUCGGCAUCCUGGGACGGAUACCGAAACAGAAGCAAUGGGAGUGGAGGAUGUAGCCUAAUUCCUUCAUAACUCGGGGAUGCCUCAGCAGCUCUGUCAUUGCCCACUCUAAUAGUGUAAAGGUAGUGUCGGACCCAGCAGCAAACAUAUCCUUCAUCAAAUGCAAAACCGGUUGACUUAUGUAGGAUGGGCACAGGAACGUAAUUUUCUACAAGUUUGUUAAAUUUGGUUAUAUGUGUACCACUAUAUCAUGGACCGCGUUUCAUUUUCACUUACCGAUAUACACAUACCAGAUCAUUGUUCGUAAGGAGGUUGCAAGACUUACAGGGGCCUUAACUUUCUAAUGGUAAAUAUGCGUAUCAAAUCACAUCAUCAAAAGAGAAGAUAAGGGAAGGACACGAAAGCCUAAUAUGAUUGAUUAGCUUUGACAUAUCCAAAAUGUGUAUGAUCUGCAAAAGAUGAUUACAAUCAACAUGCAAAAGUAUAAAACAUCUACACGACUCAAACAAGCUAAGACACAUAACCGAUAUUACUGGAAAUUUGAUGCAUGCAGUUGGGUCUACUAUCUUGUGCACUUGAUGAUUCAAGUCUCAAUUUUUAAGAAUGCAAAGUUGCGAUGACCAGAAGAGGAUCCCUUCUGUUGAUUACUAUGCCCGGGUUUUCAGGCACAUCUGAAGUCUCAUCUUCUGCUUCAUUGGCUGAUUUCCAAUCAAACAAGUGAACAAGAUUUGCUAAUACAAGCUCAGCAUUGACUGAAAAGAAGGUUAUCCCCGGGCAACCUCUUCUUCCUGCUCCAAAGGGGAUCAAUUGGAAAUCCUGCCCCUUAAAGUCUACUGAACAGUUGAGGAACCUCUCUGGACGGAAUUCUUCAGGAUUUUCCCAAUAAACCGGGUCUCUCUGUAUUGCCCAUGCAUUGAUGAUUACGUGUGUCCUUGCAGCAAUGUCAUACCCAUUUAUUUUAACGUUCUGUGAGGUUUGUCGAAAUAGUAGCAAUGGGAGAGGAGGAUGUAGCCUAAGUACCUCUUUGAUCACUGCUUUCAAGUACUUCAUCGUUUCCAAAUCAUCUUCAGAUACUAUUGUUUUUUCUCUAACGACUCCCCUUACUUCAUCUUGCAGUUGCUUCAUAACUUGGGGAUGCCUCAAAAGCUCUGUCAUUGCCCACUCUAGUACUGUAUAAGUAGUGUCGGACCCAGCAACAAACAUAUCCUUCAUCAAAUACAAUGAGACAUUCGUAAAGUUCGAUAAGUUUACACCAAAGUAGUUGAGAUCUAGCAUCUGAAGAGGAUAGGAACAAAAAAGGCUAAUAUGACUGAUUUGCUUUGACAGGGUCCAAGGAGUGUAUGAUCUUCAAAAGGACUUGUUAACACACAAGGUAUUUAAAACUCAGUAACCGAUAAAGUUGAAGUGUUCAGAAGGUCACUUCCUCGACUCAUAAAGAAUAUACAGCUUGUAGCUUGCCUUGACAUCCUAUUUGAUACAAAAAAUAAGUUGAGGUAGCUAGUCUGAGUAAUCUAGUAAACAUGUGGAUUAACAACAGCAAGAAGAGGAGUUUUCCUGUGUAUAGUGAGACCACUACAUUCAGAUUGUUUCGGCCUUGACUAGGUUGGCUAGCCUAGCAUGAGCUCGUUAUUAGCUAUCACAAAUGACAUCCCUGGGAACUUCCUUUUUCCACCCCAAACGAAACAAACACGAAACUUGUCCUUUAAAGUCUAUUGAAGAGCUCAUGCAAAAACUUUCCGGACGGAAACUUGUCAGGUUCUUCUCAAAUAACUUUCAGGGCGCAGGUAUCAUGCACGGGGGGCUUGCUUAAGCCAAUAUAAUGAUUUCUUCAGGAGACAGACAUGAUGAGGAUAUUUUGGAUCCUUAAAUCCAACAUGUUGCAUAUUAAAAAUCUCAUUAAGAUUACCAUGCAAAAAAAGCAUUUUUGACAUCCAACUGAUGAAUGGGCCAAGAGUGUGCAAGUGUAAUGCUCAAUACUACACAAUAUUAGUCGGUUUUACAACCGGACUGAAAGUCUCGUCGCAUUCAACUUCAACCUGUUGAGACCUGCCAUCACCUACAAGACGGGCUUCGUGCCUCUUAAAAGAACCAUCGGAUUUCUUUUUUUAUGACGAAAAAUCCACAUAGAACGAAUAAAAUUCACAUCAAUGGGACGGGUACUAAUUCCCACGUCUUAUUUUAAUUAGAACAUCAUAUUUAUCUACAAUGGCAGCUUUUCAAUUGUGGUCAUUUAAAGCACUCACCGGAUUUUGCGGGAUGGCGAAAUAGAAGUAGUGGUAAAAGUGUUUAAAUUAAAUGGUCUUUUGGACUUGUAUAUCCCAUGUUGGCUUCUUGUAGCCAUGCGGGUGGGCUGCUAGGCAGUGGGAAGAGGUGCAGGGAUUGGGCCUGAUGGUAUUGGUCCAGCACUGGGAGCUGUCGCUGGAUUGGGGUUGGAUAAGAGGACUGGACUGGGUGAGGGGUUGUUGGGCUGGGACGCUUGGAAUUGGCCAUAGGCGUCCGGCUUAUAGCAGGGGAGCUACUGGAUCCGUUGGGUGGGGAAGCUACUGGUUGGGUCGUGGGCUCAACUGUUGCAUUGGGCUUUGCCAGAAAGUGCAAGGUGUAUGGUGAUAACCCAUGGUCCAGAAAGUCAUAAGAAGUUGGGGUUGGAUUGUGUAAUUUGGAGAAGAUCAAUAAUGAACUCCCUAUCUUUUCUAGUAAACAUGUGGAGUGGCAACAGCAAGAAGAGGAGUUUUUCUGUGUAUAGUAAGACCAGUACAUUCAGACAUGUCCAACGUUUCAGCAUUGACUCCAACAGACGAGACUACAAGUGUAGGUUUUCCGCCCAAGUAUAUCAACAUAAGCUCACCAUAUCGCUCAGACCAAGAUUUCAGAGUUCUGUGAGGGAGUUCACCUAGCUUAGGCAGAUGUCCUAGAAUCGGAAGUUUUGGUGGUGAUGGCGGUUUUGUUUCCAAGGAUACAACACUGAAUUAGAUGGAGAAGGAACCUAUGAAGAUAGUUUGGAUAGACUCAAAAUAUACAAACUCUACUAUACUUGUUAAUCAAUUCGCCAGGUAUUGUAGUGCUUUUUAUAGGAUAUUACGUAUACUUGAACUAUUCAUUCAUGCAUGCCGUCUUACUCAACGACCUAGCGCAUCUUAAUCAAAGUUAUCGGCUUUCUUCGUAGUUUUUGCCAUAAAUGAUUUGCUUGAAAGUCAUCUAGUGUUGAUCUCUGUUGUUGACAUUCAAGUUUGGUAUGAUCUGAAUUCUGAAACUAAGUAUGAAUACAGGUACAUGAGUAUGACCGCAAGCCUCUUAUAAACAAUAGAGUGUAAAAAAACUCUGAUGAUGCAAUUGUUGCAUUAAAAAAAGCAGAGAAUGAGGAGGAUAACCGUAAGAAACUUUAAACAAUGUUAUCUCUUUUUUCAUUGCAAGGUUAGUUGUACAAUUUUGACCUUAACAUCCAAACUCCAUCUGUUUGUCUUGUGCAUUAGAGAGAUGUGUACAUGAAUCGAAUCUCGACUACAUUAUUCUAUAAGUGGAACUCGUUAAUUGCU